AAUGGAGAUUAAUUCACGAGAUGAAUCUAUUUAGCAUAAUUAAUCUAUCAUUAGCACAUGUUUCGAAUCAUGAACUAAUUAGGCUUAAUAAAUUCGUCUCGCAAAUUAGCCUACAUCUUUGCAAUUAGUUUUAUAAUUAGUAUAUAUUUAAUACUCCUAAUUAAUAUCAAACAUCCGAUAUGAUAGGAAAUAUUAGGGUGGUCCAAACAGUCCUAAUGGGGGACUAAAAUUUGUUAGUAGUACCACAAAUGGGGGACCUUCAUUGUUGAUCUUUAUGAGCCACAUAAUGUUUAGAUGGUUGGUGUUGAACUACGUCGACGGGGCAGGUUGAGUUUGUCGGUGCAGAUUUGGACACGUGCGUCUUCAGUUGUGGUACUCCUAGUUUUUUCAGGCCAUUUCCCUUGUGAGUUCCGGACAGGAGGCAGCAGAUUUUGCACAGUUAGCAUUGUGCUUUAUUAUUCUCUCUCCGAGAAAUUCUCCAAAUCAGAUCGAUUCAAUUGGCUGCUUGGCAUCUACUAGUACUCCUUUUUAACUGAACUGCGAGCAGCUGUUGUUCCUGCAGCUGCUGUGGUUAUUCAGGCAGCCAAUCCGAAAAAACGGCGCAAUUGCUUUAACUACGUUCUCUAAAUACUGCGGCCCCGAAUUGAAGGCAUUAAGGUUUGUCGACGAGAGCACCAAGAAUAAACCAUCUAUUUUUUGCUGAUGGUUCCUUGAUAUUGAUGAGAGCAAGGAAGAAUGACGCACAGGAAAAAUAUAUUCUGGAUUUGUAUGAACAGGCUGCUGGUCAGAAAGUUAACAGAGAUAAAUCAUCAAUUAUGUUCAGCCCAAAUACAAGUCAAGAAAUUAGGAGUCAGAUCAAAUCUGGCAUGUCUAUUGUAUCUGAAGCCAGGAGUGAACGUUAUUUAGGAUUACCAAUCUCCAUUGGGAAAUAAAAAAGCAGUAUUUGAAUACAUCAAAAAGAAGGUUUGGAGCAGGAUUCAGGGCUGGCAGGAAAAACUUCUAUCAAAAGCUGGUUUUUGUGAUGAUCUCAGUAUGAUUAAUGGGAGAUAUUGGUGGAGCCAGCAGGACAAAACAAAUAAAAUUCACUGGCUGAGUUGGGAAAAAUUAACUACAUCCAAGAAGAACGGUGGUCUUGGUUUUCGUGAUCUGCGUCUUUUCAAUUUAGCAAUGCUAAGUAGGCAAGCAUGGAGAUUUCUUACCAGCCCUAACACUCACUGUGCCCAAGUGUUAAAGGCAAGAAAUUUUCCAAACUCAGAUAUUCUCCAUUGUGUUCCUCAGGCUGGGAUUUCAUAUUCUUGGAGAAGCAUUUUGAGAGGGGCUGAACUUUUAAAAGAAGGAGUUAUAUGGCGAAUUGGGAAUGGAGAGAAAGUAAACAUAUGGGAAGACAUGGCUGCCCAAAGGCUCAACAAGAAAACCAGCAACACCUAGGAGAUGCUGAUGAGAUUUUACAAAUGCCUAUUAAUGAACAUAUGGAGGAUUGGCCUGCCUGGCAUUUUGAUGCAAAAGGGCAAUUUUCAGUCAAAUCAGCUUAUAAGCUUGCUGUGGCGAGAAGAGAUGCUCAAACAGGACAGGACGCUUCUAGUUUUGUACGUGCAAAUGGAUAUGACAGGGAUUUUCAAUGGAUCAAGAUUUGGCAACUCAAAGCCCCUAAUAAAUUUAAAAUGUUUGUAUGGCGUUUUGCACAUAACAGCCUUCCUGUUAGAAGGAAUGUGGCCAGACGUGGGGUGGAAUUAGAUACUAUCUGUCCUGUUUGUGGAAGACUGGACGAGGACUGUGGCCAUAUCUUCUUUAAAUGUAAAUUUGUAAAAUUAUGUUGGCGCCUUCUGAACAUGGAAGACAUCAGAUCUGAAUUGGGAGCUGCCAAUCCGGUUUAGAAGUGCUCGCUAAGAUCUGGGAGCUACAGAAGAAUAUACAGCUAAAAGUGCUUGUUUUCCUAUGGAGAUGGUGGUCGGCAAGAAAUAAGGCUAAUGAUGGUGAGAGGCUGCCAAAAGCAAAUGAGGUUUGUGGUUCUGUCUCGUUCUUCCUCAUGCAAUUCGAAAAGCUACAUGAGACUGAAAAGAAAGUCAUACCUGUAACUCAAGAUUCAUGGAAACCUCCCCCAGAGAACUUUUACAAAAUCAACUCAGAUGGUUCUUUUGACCCGGAUAAAAGAUCGGAGGAUGGGGCUUUGUGGUGAGAGAUAUGAAUGGAGAGGUAUUAGCAGCUGGGGCUGGGAACAUUCGGCAUGCUUCAUCGGCAUUACAUGCUGAGGCCAUUGCGGCAUACAAGAGCAUUCUUCAUGCAGCUCAGCUAGGGUAUGUCACAAGUUAUCUUGGAAAUGGAUGCCACGGUUCUGGCUACAACCCUCAGGUCAACGGAUGUAGAUCGAGGCAGCAUUGGGGCUUUAGUGUUUCAUAUUCGAGACAUGAUGCAAUCGGAGUUUUCUUCUUGUUUUGCCUCGUUGUGUAAUAGAAAUUGUAAUAAGGUUGCUGACUCUUUAGCUACCCACGGAGCUUGUGUUUUAGAGGCUGGCUCAUGUGUAUACAUGAGCGAAGUCCCCUGGUAUGUAAUGGGUAUUGUAUCUGGCGAUUUGCCUUUGCAUAGAGCUUAAUGCUUGUGAUGCAUUUCAAAAAAAAAAA